rnacentral:rRNA from 1 species
CCAAGGAGCCUAACACACACGCAAGUCGCACGGUCUUGUUUAGGCCUGUGAGGCGAAAUGAAAAUAAACUGCUAUGAGGUUGUGCGCUCACCAGGUAAGCAAUCGCAAUAGCGGCCUGCCUACUUCCUUUAUCGGGGAUAUGGUGGAGCUGGAGCGUGUGCGUUGGUACCCGAAAGAUGGUGAACUAUGCCUGGGCAAGACGAAGCCAGAGGAAACUCUGGUGGAGGUCUGUAGCGAUUCUGACGUGCAAAUCGAUCGUCAGACCUGGGUAUAGGGGCGAAAGACUAAUCGAACCAUC